ACUGCUCAGUAACACGUGGACAACCUACCCUCAGCACGGGGAUAAACCCGGGAAACUGGGUAUAAUACCCGAUAGUUCUGGUUAGCUGGAAUGCUAUCAGGACGAAAGCUCCGGCGGCCGAGGAUGGGUCUGCGGCCUAUCAGGUAGUAGUGGGUGUAACGUACCUACUAGCCUACGACGGGUACGGGUUGUGAGAGCAAGAGCCCGGAGAUGGAUUCUGAGACACGAAUCCAGGCCCUACGGGGUGCAGCAGGCGCGAAAACUUUACAAUGCUGGCAACAGCGAUAAGGGGACCUCGAGUGCCAGGAUACAAUCUUGGCUGUCGUGAUGCCUAAAAAGCAUUGCAUAGCAAGGGCCGGGCAAGACCGGUGCCAGCCGCCGCGGUAACACCGGCGGCUCGAGUGGUAACCGCUAUUAUUGGGUCUAAAGGGUCUGUAGCCGGCCGGAUAAGUCUUUUGGGAAAUCCAGCUGCUCAACAGUUGGGCUUUCAGAAGAUACUGUUCGGCUCGAGGCCGGGAGAGGUGAGAGGUACUUCAGGGGUAGGGGUGAAAUCUUGUAAUCCUUGAAGGACCACCAGUGGCGAAGGCGUCUCACCAGAACGGUCCUGACGGCAAGGGACGAAAGCUAGGGGCACGAACCGGAUUAGAUACCCGGGUAGUCCUAGCCGUAAACGAUACUCGCUAGGUGUCAGCCACGGUGCGACCGUGGUUGGUGCCGCAGGGAAGCCGUGAAGCGAGCCACCUGGGAAGUACGGCCGCAAGGCUGAAACUUAAAGGAAUUGGCGGGGGAGCAC
rnacentral:rRNA from 1 species